CUUUGGGGUCUACCUCACGCCGGCCUCCAAGCCGGCGGGCGCCCGUCGGAGGCCUAUUACAUUCUGUUAAUCAGUGACGUCCGAGCAAACUACACAAUAACAAAAACUUUCAACAACGGAUCUCUUGGUUCCAGCAUCGAUGAAGAACGCAGCGAAAUGCGAUAAGUAAUGUGAAUUGCAGAAUUCAGUGAAUCAUCGAAUCUUUGAACGCACAUUGCGCCCCUCGGUAUUCCGGGGGGCAUGCCUGUUCGAGCGUCAUUACACCCCUCAAGCAUAGCUUGGUAUUGGGCUUUCGCCCCUGCGGCGCGCCCGAAAAAUAGUGGCGGUCCGGUGUGACUUCAAGCGUAGUAAACACGUCCCGCUUUGAAAGUUCGCCCCGCGAUUGGCCAGACGACCUAUUUAUUUCAAUCAUUGACCUCGGAUCAGGUAGGGAUACCCGCUGAACUUAAGCAUAUC
rnacentral:rRNA from 1 species